UUCGACACACUAUCAUUAACUGAAUCCAUAGGUUAAUGAGGCGAACCGGGGGAACUGAAACAUCUAAGUACCCCGAGGAAAAGAAAUCAACCGAGAUUCCCCCAGUAGCGGCGAGCGAACGGGGAGCAGCCCAGAGCCUGAAUCAGUGUGUGUGUUAGUGGAAGCGUCUGGAAAGGCGCGCGAUACAGGGUGACAGCCCCGUACACAAAAAUGCACAUGCUGUGAGCUCGAUGAGUAGGGCGGGACACGUGGUAUCCUGUCUGAAUAUGGGGGGACCAUCCUCCAAGGCUAAAUACUCCUGACUGACCGAUAGUGAACCAGUACCGUGAGGGAAAGGCGAAAAGAACCCCGGCGAGGGGAGUGAAAAAGAACCUGAAACCGU
rnacentral:rRNA from 1 species